CCUACGGGCGGCAGCAGUGAGGAAUAUUGGUCAAUGGACGGAAGGCUGAACCAGCCAAGCCGCGUGAGGGAGGAAGGCGCAGAGCGUCGCAGACCGCUUUUGCCGGGGGACAAACGCCCGGACUCGUCCGUUCCUGAGGGUACCCGGCGAAAAAGCAUCGGCUAACUCCGUGCCAGCAGCCGCGGUAAUACGGAGGAUGCGAGCGUUAUCCGGAUUCAUUGGGUUUAAAGGGUGCGCAGGCGGGCCUUUAAGCCGGCGGUGAAAUCGCGGGGCUCAACUCCGCCGAGCCGUCGGAACUGGGGGGCUAGAGAGCGGCGGAGGCAUGCGGAAUGUGCGGUGUAGCGGUGAAAUGCAUAGAGAUCGCGCAGAACCCCGAUUGCGAAGGCAGCGUGCCGUGCCGCCACUGACGCUGAGGCACGAAAGCGCGGGGAUCGAACAGGAUUAGAUACCCCUGUAGUC
rnacentral:rRNA from 1 species